rnacentral:rRNA from 1 species
UACAGAGGUCCCAAGCGUUGUUCGGAUUCAUUGGGCGUAAAGGGUGCGUAGGCGGCGCGGUAAGUCGGGUGUGAAAUCUCGGGGCUUAACUCCGAAACUGCAUUCGAUACCGCCGUGCUUGAGGACUGGAGAGGAGACUGGAAUUUACGGUGUAGCGGUGAAAUGCGUAGAUAUCGUAAGGAAGACCAGUGGCGAAGGCGGGUCUCUGGACAGUUCCUGACGCUGAGGCACGAAGGCCAGGGGAGCAAACGGG